rnacentral:rRNA from 1 species
GAUGAACGCUGGCGGCGUGCCUAAUACAUGCAAGUCGAGCGAACGGACGAGAAUCUUCUUGUUCUGUUGUGAGCGGCGGGCGGGGAAGGGACACGUAGAUAGCCUACGUUUAAGACUGGGCUAGCUUCGGGAACCCGGAGCUAAGGCCGAAUAAUAGUUUGGACUGCAGGGUGCAAAAGGUAAAGGCGGUCGUGCUGUUAGUGGUAGGUGGAGCCGCGCUGCAUUAGCUAGUUGGUAGGGUAACGGCGGACCAAGGCAACGAUGCAUGGCCGACCUGAGGGGGUGAUCGUCCACAGUGGCACUGAGACACGGUCCAGACUCCUACGGGAGCCAGAAGUAGGGAAUCUUCCGCAAUGGGCGAAAGCCUGACGGAGCAACGCCGACUCAGUGAUGAAGGUCUUCGGAUCCUAAAACUCUGUUCUUAGCGAAGACCACAUGUGUACGUAACUGUGAACAUCUUGACGGUACCUAAUCAGAAAGCCCCGGCUAACUACGUG